UACGUAGGGUGCAGGCGUUAAUCGGAAUUACUGGGCGUAAAGCGUGCGCAGGCGGUUUCUUAAGUCAGAUGUGAAAGCCCCGGGCUUAACCUGGGAACUGCGUUUGAAACUGGGAGACUAGAGUGUGGCAGAGGGGGGUGGAAUUCCACGUGUAGCAGUGAAAUGCGUAGAUAUGUGGAGGAACACCGAUGGCGAAGGCAGCCCCCUGGGUUAACACUGACGCUCAUGCACGAAAGCGUGGGGAGCAACAGG
rnacentral:rRNA from 1 species